rnacentral:rRNA from 1 species
GUGGGGAAUAUUCCGCAAUGGACGAAAGUCUGACGGAGCAACGCCGCGUGAGUGAUGAAGGUUUUCGGACUGUAAAGCUCUGUUGUUUAGGACGAAAGUGCCUGUUGCGAACAGUUACAGGUAUUGACGGUACUAAACGAGGAAGCCACGGCUAACUACGUGCCAGCAGCCGCGGUAAUACGUAGGUGGCAAGCGUUGUCCGGAAUUAUUGGGCGUAAAGAGCAUGUAGGCGGAGAUUUAAGUCUGUUGUGAAAAUGCGGGGCUCAACCCCGUAUUGCGAUGGAAACUGAAUUUCUUGAGUGCAGGAGAGGAAAGGGGAAUUCCCAGUGUAGCGGUGAAAUGCGUAGAUAUUGGGAGGAACACCAGUGGCGAAGGCGCCUUUCUGGACUGUGUCUGACGCUGAGAUGCGAAAGCCAGGGUAGCGAACGGGAUUAGAUACCCGUGUAGUCC